rnacentral:ncRNA from 2 species
GGACGGGCCUCUGGAGAGACUCAUUGUGAGCACCGAAGGGGAAAACCGCGACUGCGGCUAAACUCUCAGGUAAAAGGACAGGGGAUAUAUU